rnacentral:lncRNA from 10 species
AUUGCCUGGCUGCUAGAGGAAACCCGAAGUCGGGAUUCUUUCUUUCCUGCUCUGAGAGGGACCAGGUCCCUCCUCCGUAGCUUUUGUCUCUCUAUUGCCUGCGCCGUGUCCUGGACUGCUCACGGGAGUUCUGCAGGAGACGCCGGAAUAUCUGGAAGCUGAAAAAUGGUGAGUGUGCGGAGCCGGAAACCCCGAGGUGGGUUUGGGGGUUAGGGGACGGUCUAGUCAGAACCGCGGAAUCGGAACGCGGGCCUCCAUGUUGCGACUCGGGGGUCUGAGGCCCGAGUUCCCCUGGCGCAGCUCAGCCCUGGGUCCCCUUGGCCUCAGGGUGGGUCUGGGCGGCAGUCGGGACCCCAGGCGUCCUGUCGUCCCUGCUCGGCGACUGGGACCCCUGCCCCGGAGCUCUCUCUGGGGAGCUCUGCGCCCGCAGCCGCGCGUCUCCCCAAAUUGUGCGGAAGUCGUGGAGGGAAUCCCGCCUCGUGUGUGGGGUUCCCAGUCGCACGUUUCUUCUGUUAAAAAUUAAACUGAGACACUGUUAACAAGUAAAGAGUAUUUUGGGUAAACAGCCAAUCAUGAAGGAGAAACACCGGGUCAUGACUUGUUAACGGAAAAAAAAAACCAAACAGUAAAAUAACUUAAAGAAGUUUUAUUUUGACCUGGCGUGGUGGCUUACACCUGUAGUCCUAGCACUUUGGCUGGCCGAGAUGGGUGGGUCACCUAAGGUCAGGAGUUUGAGACCAGCCUGGCCAACAAACCCUAUGUAGGGUCCAGCCCUACUGGGCCUGUGGGUUUUUUUCCUCGUGUGCGGAGACAAGAGAUCAUAGAAAUAAAGACACAAGACAAAGAGAAGAAAAGACAGCUAGGCCGGGGGGACCACUACCACCUAGGUGCGGAGACCGGUAGUGGCCCCGAAUGCCUGGCUGCGCUGUUAUUUAUUGGAUACAAGACAAGGGGGGAGGGUAAGGAGUGUGAGUCAUCUCCAAUGAUAGGUAAGGUCAUGCGAGUCACGUGUCCGCCAGACAGGGGGCCCUUCCCUAUUUGGUAGCUAAGGCGGGGAGAGAGGACAGCUUAUGUCAUUAUUUCUUCUAUGCAUUUCAAAGACUUUAGUACUUUCACUAUUUCUGCUGCUGCUAUCUAGAAGGCAGAGCCAGGUGUACAGGGUGGAAUAUGAAAGCGGACCAGGAGCGUGACCGCUGAAGCACAGCAUCACAGGGAGAUGGUCAGGCCUCCGGAUGGCUGCGGGUGGGCCUGGCUGAUGUCAGGCCUUCCCCGAGAGGUGGUGGAGCAGAGUCUUCUCUAACUCCCCCGGGGAAAGGGAGACUCUUUCCCAGUCUGCUAAGUAACGGGUGCCUUCCCAGGCGCUGGCGUUACCGCUAGACCAGGGAGCCCUCUAGUGGCCCCGUCCAGGCGUAACAGAGGGCUCACACUUGUCUUCUGGUCACUUCUUACCGUGUCCCUUCAGCUCCUAUCUCUGUAUGGCCAUGUUUUUCCUAGGUUAUAAUUGUGGAAGAAAUAUAAUUAUAAUAUUGGAAUAAAGAGCAAUGCUACAAACUAAUGAUAAUGAUAUUCAUAUAUAAUCAUAUCUAUAAUCUAUUUCUAGUAUAACUAUUCUUUUUCUAUAUAUUUUCUUUAUUAUACUGGAAACAGCUUGUGCCUUCGGUCUCUUGCCUUGGCACCUGGGUGGCUUGCCGCCGACAUCUCCCCCGUUUUUAUUGACUAGGAUCGUCAUCGCCAUCAUUGCUUGUCGCUGACUUCGGACUUGUCCUCGGACUCCUUGGAGACAUCUGCAGACUAGAAGUAGACAACAUAAACAUACCAAUAUUAAUAAUGCCAGUGACAACAAUGAUCCUCCGAGGGGUUUGAUCCAUUUAAAGGGAUUAAGAUCAGACAAUCUUUUAGUUAUUCCCUCAAAAAUGUCUGAGCCAGGGCAGUAGUUAAAUGAGACUGUGAGGCCUCAAAAAUUUGUUCUUUAAGUUUUGAAAUAUUUAAGGUUAAAUUAUCAUCCUAUUCUAAAUGAUGAGGUUAUUGAACAAUUAUGAAAAUGUUGCCUAGAUGCUUGGGAUAAGAUUCAAGAUGAUGGCAAAGUAUGUCCAUCUUUUAUGCCCGUCAGACAGGGACAACAUGAACCCUAUGCAGACUUCAUUGCCCAUCUUCAAGACGCAGUAGAAAAAGCUAUCCCUGAUAGCCAUGGCCAAUGACUUCUUGUAGAACUUAUGGCUUAUGAUCAAGCAAAUCCAGAUUUCUUCUCCUUAUCACUGUUUAGGAAUGCAGCUAGAAGCUAGAAGACAAGAAUUAAGCCCCACGAUGGUCACUUCUCAUCGUGUCCCUUCAGCUCCUAUCUCUGUAUGGCCUGGUUUUUCCCAGGUUAUAAUUGUAGAACAAAGAUUAUUAUAAUAUUGGAGUGAAGAGCAAUGCUACAAACUAAUGAUUAAUGAUAUUCAUAUAUAAUCGUAUCUAUAAUCUAUUUCUAGUAUAUUCUUAUUCUAUAUAUUUUCUUUAUUAUACUGCAACAGCUUGUGCCCUCUGUCUCUUGCCUUGGCACCUGGGUGGCUUGCUGCCCACAACCCCGUGUCUAAAAAUACAAAAAUUAGCUGCGCAUGGUGGUGGGUACCAGUAAUCCCAGCUACUCCGGAGGCUGAGGCAGGAGGAUCGCUUGAACCCGGGAGAUGAAGGUUACAGUGUUAUGAAAGACCUUGGCGGAGGGAAACAACCCCAGGAAGCCUCGAGUAAGUGGUCCCGAGGCAGCUCAUGACAGUUUGGUUUUAUUCAUUUCAGGGAGACAGGAAUUGCAGGGAAAAUCAUGACUUAGUGCUUGGAAGGUGUGAGUUCCUUUGGCCGAAAGGCGGGACUUGUGGUAAUGGGGUUAGAAGGCACAGGUGGUUGAGGGAUUCUGUGGGUGGCAGUUGGUUGAGAGUGUGAAGUUUUGGUCUAAAAUUCAGAGGUGGAUAAAAAGGAACAAACUAAUGGCAUUUGCAGCAACCUGGAUGGAAUUGGAGACUAUUCUAAGUGAAGUAGCUCGUUAAAAUGGAAAACCAAGCAUCACUUAUGUUCUCACUCAUAAGUGGGAGCUAAGCUAUGAGGAUGCAAAGGCAUAAGAAUGAUACAAUGGACUGUGGGGACUGGGGAGGAUGGGAAAGGGUGGGAAGGUGGGUGUGAGGGAUAAAAGACUACACAUUGGGCCGGGCAUGGUGGCUCACGCCUGUAAUCCCAGUACUUUGGGAGGCUGAGGCGGGCAGAUCACCUGAGGUCAGGAGUUCGAGACCAGCCUGGCCAAUAUUGGGAAGCCCCGUCUCUACUAAAAAUACAAGUGUUAGCUGGGUGUGGUGGCACGUGCCUGUAGUCCCAGUUACUCGGGAGGCUAAGACAGGAGAACUGCAUGAACCCAGGAGGCACAGGUUGCAGUGAGUCGAGAUCCUGCCACUGCACUCCAGCCUGGGCGACAGAGCGAGACUCCAUCUCAAAAACCAACAAACAAAAAACCCAAAAACCGAAAGACUACAAAUUGGGUUCAGUGUAUACUGCUCCAGUGAUGGGUGCACCAAAAUUUCACAAAUCACCACUAAAGAACUUACUCAUGUAACCAUAUACCACCUGUUCCCCAUAAACCUAUGGAAAUAUGUAUAUAUAUGUAUUUAAAUUUUUAGAGGCGGUAGGAAGGAAUGCUGUAGGAAGAGGGGCUGUUAUUUGUCACAUGAUUCCAUCCCUGCCCACGAAACAGGCCUGUGUCACCAGAUUUUAUGAAUUCUGAGACAUGAAUUACCCUUUUCCUUAAGUCCCUUUAGAUGGUGUUUGUAAUUUCAUGUCUUACUGCCACAGAAUCUGUUUUGUGAGUCUGACGAUGUCUAAUGAACAUGAAUGUAGAUCAGUUGCUGUGUAUAUAUUCUAAAAGAGAGACAGUAUAAGGAGGCUACUCCGAUCUUCCCGUCACAGCGGGGAACUCCAUUUUGAGAGUUUUUAUUGGUGAUCUUGGCCAAGAGCAGGUCAGUUCACUUAGUUGUUGGUGGGGGAGCUGCUUAAUUUUGUUAACAGCUUAUAGGUUGGAGGACAGGCUUUUAUAAUGUGAAAGGAAAAUAAAACCUCAGGACCCCAAUUUUUAUACCAAAAGGAAAAUAUUAAGCUAAAAGCUGAGUCAAGCAAGAAGUUGCCUUUCUUUUUGUUGCUAAGUGAAUAGCUACAGAUAAAAAGUUAUAUAUCUUGGACUGGGCACAGUGGCUUACGCCUGUAAUCUCAGAACUCUGGGAGGCUGAGGCAGGCGGAUCACUAGAUCAGGAGUUCGAGACCAGCCUGACCAAAAUGGAGAAACCCUGUCUCUACUAAAAAUACAAAACUUAGCCAGGCAUGGUGGCCUGUGCCUGUAAUCUCAGCUAAUCAGGAAGCUGAGGCAGGAGAAUCACUUGAACCUGGGAGGCAGAAGUUGCAGUGAGCCACGAUCGAGUCACUGCACUCCAGCCUGGGUGACAGAGCGAGACUGCAUCUAAAAAAAAAAAAAAAAAAAGUUAUAUAUCUCCACAGGAAACUGUGUAUCUCAAGUAAAGUGUUGAUUUACUGGGUGAGACACAAAUACCUAACUGACUAUUCUCUUGCCUGCUUCUUUCCUGUUGCAGUAUGUGGAUUACAUACUAACCCUCCCUCUUACCUAUCCAGCACACUUUUCCCCUUUAUAUAUUGAAGUCCUCAAAAUUGUCCUUGGAGAAAGUCACAGACUGUUGCUGUGAUUCCGUGUUGAUUUCUUCUGGGUCUAUUCUUAACCUUGGGAAAAUAAACUUCUAAGUUGAUCCAGAAGCAUCUCCAAUAUUUUUGGUUUACAAUAUGUUGCAUGAGGAGCCAAACCAUAUUAAAUACUAGAUUGUUUACAGUGAUGCAGUUGCCUUCUUUGGACUUGUCAACUUGAAGUAGUUGAAAAGAUCAGAUUCCAGUUUUGAAGCAUUUAUUCAAGUAGUAAGCUGAGAAUGGCCUAUUUGGGAAAACACAGACUCCAGAGAAAUGGCUCAGUGCUCUGAAGUCAGAUGUUAAAUUCUUCCCUAUAUAGGCAAAAGGCAAAGAAAUUGAACAGGAUUACAUUUUCCAUAGAAGGCUGAUGUAUGAGGUACAACAAUUUAAUUUGUUACAGUUUGCUUUUUUUCUCCUAGGCCUUUAUUUUCUUGACAGCUGAUUUUCAUUUCCUUCCCAAUUUAAAAGAAUGAGUUUGGCCAGGUGCAGUGGCUCAUGCCUGUAAUCCUAGCACUUUGGGAGGCCAUGGUGGGUGGAUUGCCUUAGCUCAGGAGUUUGAGACCAGCCUGGGCAACACGAUGAAGCCCCAUCUCUACUAAAAUACAAAAUUAGCUGGCUGUGGCGACGUGCACCUGUAAUCCCAGUUACUUGGGAUGUUGUGGGAAAUAAAGGACUAGAGAGACUGAUACAAGGAACGGGAGAAUUGUUCAUUUAAGGUACGCACCGGCUCAGUGGAUUCACAUCUAAAAAGCUGAGCACUGAACAAAGACUGAGCGAGGUUUUCAUAAGCAAACUUACAGAAGCAAAAUAAAAGUAAUCAUACAGUGAUAGGUCACGUAAUCUAUAGCAUAGCAUAACUUGUGGCCUUGCAUAGCUGGUGGCCUUGUAGCUGCAUUUAAAGAAAAACAAGAACUGACUAAAUACAGACUUCUUUCCUUUUUUUUUUUUCCUUCACCUUCGUUCUGGAGGGGGGAUGUCUGGAACCUAUUCUUUUGGCUUUGACUUCUCAAACAGCAUUAUAACUGUCUUUGAAGUGAGCUUGCUAGGCAGAGGAAAACUUGUUCUUUUCUUUUUAACCUUUGCCUUGCCUGUUACUUUUCUUGGAGUGAAUGAAUGCAUAUUUAUUUUUUAAAUUUCUGGCUUAGGGAGGCUAAGGUAGGAGAAUUGCUUGAACCCAGGAGGUUGCAGUGAGCCGAGAUCGUGUUAUUGCACUCCAGCCUGGGUAACAGAGCAAGAGUUGGUCUCAAAAAAAAAAAAAAAAAAGAGUGAGUUGAACAUUCCAGCUUAAGACAGUGUGAUAGCCAUGAAGUCUUUGUGUGAGAAAGGGUAAGAUGAAAGUUCAUCUACAAUGGAGAUCAAGAGUGAAGAGGGAAGGGGUCUUCCCUGGCUCCCUUCAACAUUUACAUGUCAACAUUGACAUAAUUUUAUGAAACAAUAUGGGUAAGAAUGAAGACAAAAAGGCAAAUCCACAGUCUGGGAAAGGAAAGUUCCAGCUGCCUGUCAUGUGACUCAAUGCCACCUUAAUCACAUUGCUUUAAGGCUCAAGAUAAUUUAGAGAUGGAACAGCUCACAUUUUUGGCUUUAGUUUCACAGACUGUACAGGUAGAAAAUGUUCUGGUUAUGUAAUCAGGUUAAUUGGGGGAUUUUGGUUGGUUAAGCCUAAAUUUCAUUUCCCUAUAAAUUAUUAUUUUAUCAGAAUUGUAUUUGAGUUGUAUUUCAGGGUCCUUAGGUAGGUCCUAGGGCACUACACACAGUUCAGUCUUACUGUUUCUCAUUUAUUUAUUUAUUUAUUGUUUUUUUGAGACAGGGUUUUGCUCACUGCAACAUCUGCCUCCUGGGCUCUGGGUGCGAGCAGUCCUCCCACCUCAGCCUCCUGAGUAGCCAGGACUGCAGGCAUGCACCAUCACACCUGACUUAAUUGUUGUAUUUUUUGUAGAUGCCAGGUUGUCCAGUCUAGUCUCAAAAUCCUGAGCUCAAGUGAUCCAUCAGCCUCUGUGUCUCACCCAAAGUGCUGGGAUUACAGGCGUGAGCCACAGUGCAUCGCCUCAUUUAAUUUUUUUUUUUUUUUUUUUUUUUUUUUUUUUGAGACUGAGCCUAGCUCUGUUGCCCAGGCUGGAGUACAGUGGUGUGAUCUCGGCUCACUGCAACCUCCGCCUCCCGAGUUCAAGUGAUUCUUCGGCCUCAGCCUCUCUAGUAGCUGGGAUUACAGGCACACACCACCACGCCCCACUAGUUUUUGUAUUUUUAAUAGAGACUGGGUUUCACCAUGUUGGCCAGGCUGGUCAAGAACUCCUGACCUCAAGUGAUCCAACCACCUCGGCCUCCCAAAGUGCUGGGAUUACAGGCGUGAGACACCGCGCCCGGCCUAUUUAAAUUUUUUAGCACUCGCCUUGGGGACUGGUUUCCCCCACAUUUUCCAAAUAGAUUGGAUGCAGUGUCUGCUAUUCUCCACCCUGUGUCCGAGGCUAACUCUUCAAGGGCUUGCAGUAGAAAUCCUAAAUGUUCAGUUUCUCUCCCGCGUUUCCAACAUCAACUCCAUUCUCCAGUUCACAAUAUUAUCAACUAUUUCUUCUUUAUAGUACAACAUUGUAUUUAUUCAUCCCGUUUAAAACAGAUGCAGUGUAUUUUAAUUGUUUAUUAUUUUAUCACAGAGCAAUAGAUGAUUCUUUUUAAAGUAUUUGUUUGCUAUUUCUGAAAAUUUCACAUGAGAAGAAGGCAGAGAAAAAUCACCACACAUCUCAGUGAACAAAACCUUUGUGCCUCUCCUUUUAUUUUUCCUAGGCACAGACAUCAGGAUGUCUUUGGGUUGAGGUUCCUUUUUGGAAACUUUACAGAAUGAUCUGUCUUCCGUUCCCCCUCCAAUUUUUCCUGGUCCUGGGUUUCAGAACUGCCUAGGCUGAGCCAAGAUACCCACCACUGCCAUGUCUCUUGGAGGGCCUAGUACAUAUCAGCCCCUGAGUCAUACCUCCCAGAGCACAGCCUGAAGUAGAGGAGUGGGGCCUCCCAAGGGAGUAGCUGAAUGCCUUGUGGUGGGAGGAGACUCCUGGUAUAAUCUUCAUCUAGAUAACCAAUCCCCUUGGGGUGCUCAGCUUUUCUCCCUCAACCCCAGUUUCCAUUAUUUGGAGAUACAUGGCUGGUCAGCCAAUUGGAUUUUGCUCCUGAGAGGAAAGAGAAAUGAUUCCUGUCCUCUGGAUUGUCUCAGAAAUGUAAAGAAAGAAAACUUUUUUUUUUUUUUGCCUUUCCCAUGCAUACUGAGGGAGAAAACUCAAAACGUGUGGGAGAAAACAAAACAAACAGAAAAAGUUGGUGC